UACUAGGGGGCAAGCGUUGUCCGGAUUUAUUGGGCGUAAAGAGCGUGUAGGCGGUUUUACAGGUCCGCUGUGAAAAACUCGAGACUCAACCUCGAGCUGUCGGUGGAAACCGUAAGGCUAGAGUCCGGAAGAGGAGAGUGGAAUUCCUGGUGUAGCGGUGAAAAUGCGCAGAUAUCAGGGAGGGAAACACCCGGUGGGCGAAAGGCGGGGUCUCUGGGGCAA
rnacentral:rRNA from 1 species